AACAACAUAUAUGCAUAUUCAUCAUUUGCUUAAUGAAUAUGCAAAUUAAUGUUACCAUCCUCUAAAUGCUCGUGAAUAGAUUUACUGGUCCCUGGUGUCAAAAAGUUUGGGAACCCCCGUUGUAAUACAUAGCGAUGUUAGUGUUAGAUAAGGCCUUGCAGUAGAUAGAAAACAGUUUAAUGCGGAAAGACUUUGUAACUUUGUUAAAGUGACUAGCAGUACCCCCUUUUCCAUGCUGCAAUUAUGUAAAUGUAUUGUUUGCGUGAAUGAGAGAGAGAAUGUUUUAGGAAAGAUAAGUGUGAAGGCCACUGCAUGCUCAAAUGGCCAGAGGAGGAGCUGGAGACUCAGAAGCACCAAAUAAUAAUCAAAGCACACCGAAGACAGACUACCUGGGCAGAUUGACAAACCCUGAAACUAGAGGCAAGCACCCCUUAAUAGGGAACCAAUCAUAACUUUUGCUGGAAAGACAACAUUCCUGAGGGGUUGUCAGCAUACUGAUAUCAGAUGACUGUGAGAACUUCUUCCCAAUAAGCACAUGUUAUAAGAAGAUUGAUUGUGAUGCUGAAUGACUAAUUACAGCAUGACGAGGCAAAAUGCAUAGACUUGCAUGGAAAGAAAUAUCCUAUAAAAGAUGGGGUGUUUUGUAGGGUUCUUUGGGUUCUGUCCUGCUAAGAUCAUGACCAGGAGGGGCAUCAGUCCGGACAAUAGGUUGGGCCGAGCAACUUAAUUAUAAGCAUUCCAUCAGAGUGUGUGUGUGUGUGUGUGCGCGCAUAUGCUAUUUCAUUAUAUCAUCAAUAAAUGCGGCAUGUUGCCUUAUCCCCCCAAAAAAGAUCCCGUGUGCUUCUUUUAAGCAUAACACUGUGGUUAAGAGCAGGGCCGGCUUUAGGCCGAUUCCCCAGAAUGAGGCCCCGCGCCUAAGGGAGCCCCGCGCCCGGCACACGCACAGGCUCCGCCGCCAGGCACACACGCAGGCCCCGUCUCUGGAAUCAGACCCCGUGCAUCUUAAAGCCGGCCCUGGUUAAGAGAUAAUAUGCUGCUUGUUUACUUGAAGGGUUUGCAACAAUGUAGCUGUAUCAUAGCAGUUGAACUGGUCUAAAAACACUCUAACCAACCGUACACCAUUACAGAUAAUUUGAAAAGAACGGACUCAAGAGUUCUCUAUUGUUAUGGAAUCUGUCCACACAAGUGGGGCUGUAUUCAUCAAAAGAGGUAAACUGCACAUUGUGGACCAGAUUCAGAUCUGCUAUUUUCUGGUUGAACCUCUUCAAUCCAGCACCCUCAGGACCUGACAUGUGCCAAACCAGAGAAUUUGCAGAAACAUGGAAGGUCAAUAUGAAGAGGACAGCACAAACUGAAGAGAAGAAUUGGAAAAAAAACUGAUAAGCCUCACAAAAAUUGUAUGAAAGAUAGAUGUACAACAGCCCUAUAAUUGUCUUUCAAAGGAAUUGUGACCAGAAGUGACACAGAGUAAAGAGGUUGGAACUACGUCUGUAGCUGAGGGCAGUGAAGAAGGAACUGAGAGGAAUCAGGCUGCGUGCGUUAACUUCAAAGGCAGGAACACCAUGGGCCUCACGCACAUUUGCAGCCCGACUAGACACUGCUCUGAAAGUCUCCAAUAUGUGGUGCUGGGACAAGCCCAACACCAACAAUGGAGCAUCCACAGGGACAUCACUCGAAGAAGAACUAGCUUUAUUGGCAUCAGUUCUGUUCAGUUAUGAUGUGACCUAAUAAAGCUACAAGCAAAUAGUGUAGCUAUAUACGCUUAUGCAAUCCAACUCCAAUCCACAUAUUAGUUUUUGCAAACAAAUCGAAGGGUGCAUGUAAACAUUCAAAGCUUGCACAUACUUUUGAAAGUUCAGUUCUUAAAUAUGAAAUUACUUAAAAACUCCUACAUAUUUAAUACCAAAAAUUGAUGUAUCUUAAACAGACCCAACUAUAAUUAUAGUAACUGUACCAUAGUGAGAUACAACAUAAUAGUAAUUUAUUCCAUGAAUAAGACCCAGUUCAGUAUGCGAACAAUCCCAAUGAUAUCAAAUUAAUUAGGAUUAUAAUCAUUUUGUCUCCUCUGCCAUGUUUAUGCCAAUAUAUUAGGACAGAUUUCCAGGAGAUAGAGUGGGAGACAUUACUUGUCUAGGAGGAAAAAGCAGACAGUGGUAAGAACUGUGUGAAAAAGGUUGAUGCAGGCUUUUAAAGCAUUCCAAACAGAAUUUGAACAAAAAGCUGCUAAAGAAAGCAUCCCAGGUAAUGUUAAUACUGAAAAAUAUAUACCAUUAUGCUUCAGGAAAAAUCAAAUAUAAAAUGAAAAAUAGAGUUGCAAUUCAAACACAAGUGCUAGUUGAUUAUUUAUUGAAAGCUAUUUCUGCCUACCACUCUUCCCCCAACAAAUUUGUUCAAUUUGUGUCUAUCAGCUCUUUUUGGC